UGAGGCAGGAGAAUUGCUUGAACCCAGGAAGCGGAGGUUGCAGUGAGCCGAGAUCACGCCACUGUACUCCAGCCUGGUGACAGAGCAAGACUCCAUCUC
rnacentral:miRNA from 1 species